CCUACGGGAGGCUGCAGUGGGGAAUAUUGGACAAUGGGGGGAACCCUGAUCCAGCCAUGCCGCGUGUGUGAAGAAGGCCCUCAGGUUGUAAAGCACUUUCAGUGAGGAAGAACGCCUGGUGGUUAAUACCCAUCAGGAAAGACAUCACUCACAGAAGAAGCACCGGCUAACUCCGUGCCAGCAGCCGCGGUAAUACGGAGGGUGCGAGCGUUAAUCGGAAUUACUGGGCGUAAAGCGCGCGUAGGUGGCUUGAUAAGCCGGUUGUGAAAGCCCCGGGCUCAACCUGGGAACGGCAUCCGGAACUGUCAAGCUAGAGUGCAGGAGAGGAAGGUAGAAUUCCCGGUGUAGCGGUGAAAUGCGUAGAGAUCGGGAGGAAUACCAGUGGCGAAGGCGGCCUUCUGGACUGACACUGACACUGAGGUGCGAAAGCGUGGGUAGCAAACAGGAUUAGAUACCCUAGUAGUC
rnacentral:rRNA from 1 species